rnacentral:rRNA from 1 species
AUGGCUGUUCGCCAUUUAAAGUGGUACGCGAGCUGGGUUUAGAACGUCGUGAGACAGUUCGGUCCCUAUCUGCCGUGGGCGCUGGAGAACUGAGGGGGGCUGCUCCUAGUACGAGAGGACCGGAGUGGACGCAUCACUGGUGUUCGGGUUGUCAUGCCAAUGGCACUGCCCGGUAGCUAAAUGCGGAAGAGAUAAGUGCUGAAAGCAUCUAAGCACGAAACUUGCCCCGAGAUGAGUUCUCCCUGACUCCCUGAGAGUCCUGAAGGAACGUUGAAGACGACGACGUUGAUAGGCCGGGUGUGUAAGCGCAGCGAUGCGUUGAGCUAACCGGUACUAAUGAACCGUGAGG